UGAUGGUGGUAGUCACGUCACAAAACCAAAUGCAGGGGCAGGAAGCUGCAGGGAAGAAGGGCGGUGCUGGGAGAGAUGGGGGUCAUCUAGGAGGAGGAGAGGACAGAAGCAGUGGUGGCCACGGCCUGGGCUCGUCUUCUCCUAACACCGACUUCCGAAACACAGUCAUGGGAUGUGCUAGCGCUCUUUCCCCCGUGGGGGGCUGCACCUGGACUGGGGGCCGGGACUCUCCUGGGGACUCUCCCAGAGGCUAUGCACCUUCACAGUUGUCCAGCAGGUUCCAGAGCCAAGCUGAAGUCUAACGGAUUGGUCACUCGGGAUGUUCCUGGAGCUCCUGCAACAUGGGGGCAGAAGAUAUCACAGUAGAGAGCGCUCAUGAGGAAGCAGUGACUUCAGGUCCUCUCUAGAUCUCCAGUGCACACACAGGAAGAAAUCCUCUUGCUGUCACCUGCCACCCACCAAGAGCCACUUCCCAAUCUGGAGAGCGUGGGAUGGCGGGUGCCACAGGUGAACAAGGUCCUCCGCCAGGACCUCCAGAUGAGAAGCAGGAUCCUGGCCCCAGAACCAUCCUCUGCAAGUCCUGAAGCAUCCAGUACCAUCUCGGGGUUGUGUGAAAGACCAACGAGGAAAGGAAGAAUCGGAGUGGAAAAGAGAAGAGGGGCCUGGGACAUAAGACACAAGUGCCCACCACGUCCCAGUUCUGAGCCAGAGAGCUGGGGGAUGGGCAUUUGAAGAGUUGAGUCCAACUCUGUGUGACAAGUUCGUGGAACUAUGUCACGGCGUGAACCAAAUGCGACUACGCUCAUGAAGGUCAGGAAGGUCCAACGGCACCCACCUCACAGGGUUCAGCCUGAGGUCCAGAGGUCAGCCUGAGGUCCCCUGGCCUCUGCGGUCACAGCUGAAUGAAUUUGAAAGGUUUUCCAGGUGUUUCAGGUGGGAUGGGGAGAAAGUGUUUCCAAGGAAGAGGGGAAAUGAGCACAGGUUGAGGUAAGGAGAUCCUCCUGCUCAGGCAGGACCCCAGGGGUCUACUGCAAGGAGAGAGCUGUGACAGGUCCUAAGACGAGCAGAGGUGACCAGCACUGCUGUGAAGGCUGCAUCAAAGUUGGAUUUGUCACCGGUGGGCAACAGACCCUCACCAAAUUGUCCAAAUACAAAAGUGAGUUGGAUCUCAAAUGGCCCCCAGAAGCUUGUGUGGUGAAGACUUGGUUCUCCAGCUGAUGGGACUACUGGGGGGUGGUGGAACCUUUAGAAGGUGGGGUCCAGUUGGAGGAAGUAGGUCAUCAGGGGCAUGCCUGGGAAAAAUAAGGAGACCCCCACCCCGCCCUCUCUCUGCUUCCUGGCUGCCAGGAGCCAAGCAGCUUUGCUACACCAGGACACCCUCUCCACCAUGAUGUUCUGGCUUUCCCUCGGUUCCAGAAACAACAGAUCCCAGUGACCAUGGACUGGAACCUCUGAAACUGUGAGCCAAAUAAAUCUUUCUUCCUUUA